rnacentral:rRNA from 1 species
GAUCGAGUUUGAUCCUGGCUCAGAUUGAACGCUGGCGGAAUGCUUUACACAUGCAAGUCGAACGGUAGAGGGGGCAACCCCUUGAGAGUGGCGAACGGGUGGAGUAAUAUAUCGGAACGUGCCCAGUCGUGGGGGAUAACGUAGCGAAAGUUACGCUAAUACCGCAUACGAUCUAAGGAUGAAAGCGGGGGAUCACAAGACCUCGCGCGAUUGGAGCGGCCGAUAUCAGAUUAGGUAGUUGGUGAGGUAAAGGCUCACCAAGCCGACGAUCUGUAGCUGGUCUGAGAGGACGACCAGCCACACUGGAACUGAGACACGGUCCAGACUCCGUACGGGAGGC